rnacentral:tRNA from 1 species
GCCCCCAUCGUCUAGUGGUUUAG